UACGUAGGGUCCGAGCGUUGUCCGGAAUUAUUGGGCGUAAAGAGCUCGUAGGCGGUGUGUCGCGUCGGCCGUGAAAACCUGCAGCUUAACUGUGGGCGUGCGGUCGAUACGGGCAUCACUGGAGUUCGGCAGGGGAGACUGGAAUUCCUGGUGUAGCGGUGAAAUGCGCAGAUAUCAGGAGGAACACCGGUGGCGAAGGCGGGUCUCUGGGCCGAUACUGACGCUGAGGAGCGAAAGCGUGGGGAGCGAACAGG
rnacentral:rRNA from 1 species